rnacentral:rRNA from 1 species
UACGUAGGGUGCAAGCGUUGUUCGGAUUUACUGGGCGUAAAGGGCGCGUAGGCGGCAGAUUAAGUCAGCUGUGAAAUCUCCGAGCUUAACUCGGAACUGUCAGCUGAUACUGUUUUGCUAGAGUGCGGAAGGGGCAAUCGGAAUUCUUGGUGUAGCGGUGAAAUGCGUAGAUAUCAAGAGGAACACCUGAGGUGAAGACGGGUUGCUGGGCCGACACUGACGCUGAGUGCGCGAAAGCCAGGGGAGCAAACGGG